UUACGGCUAUAUGACGUUGAAACACCAGCUGUCGUACGAUCGCCGAAGUUAAGCAACGUCGAGCCCUGUCAGUGCCUAGAUGGGCGACCGCUUGGGAGUACCAGAAGCUGUAA